UACUCCUACGGGAGGCAGCAGUGGGGAAUUUUGGACAAUGGGCGAAAGCCUGAUCCAGCCAUGCCGCGUGCAGGAUGAAGGCCUUCGGGUUGUAAACUGCUUUUGUACGGAACGAAAAGACUCUGGUUAAUACCUGGGGUCCAUGACGGUACCGUAAGAAUAAGCACCGGCUAACUACGUGCCAGCAGCCGCGGUAAUA
rnacentral:rRNA from 1 species